GUCUGUGUCUCACCUGUCCGUGUCUCACCUGUGUCUCACCUGUCUGUGUCUCACCUGUCCGUGUCUCACAUGAUCUCACCUGUCCGUGUCUCACCUGUCUGUGUCUCACCUGAGCUCACCUGUCCGUGUCUCCUCACCUGUCCGUGUCUCACCUGAGCUCACCUGUCUGUGUCUCACCUGCCCGUGUCUCACCUGUCCGUGUCUCACCUGUCUCACCUGAGCUCACCUGCCCAUGUCUCACCUGUCCAUGUCUCACCUGUGUCUCACCUGUCUCACCUGAGCUCACCUGUCCGUGUCUCACCUGUCCGUGUCUCACCUGUCCCCAGGUUCUCGCUGCUGCAGGUGUUUGUGCUCAGUGAUUGGAGCAGCCGCGUGGGGCCCCUGCUGCAGGUGAGAGACCUGGGGGGGAAACACACCUGGGACACACCUGGGACACACCUGGGGACAGCUGGGACACACCUGGGACACCUGGGACACACCUGGGACACACCUGGGACACACCUGGGGACACACCUGGGACACACCUGGGACACACCUGGGACACACCUGGGGGGGGGGGGGGGGGGGGGGGGGGGGGGGGGGGGGGGGGGGGGGGGGGGGGGGGGGGGGGGGGGGGGGGGGGGGGGGGGGGGGGG
rnacentral:lncRNA from 12 species